rnacentral:rRNA from 1 species
AUGCUCACCAUACCUUUUUAUGGCAGUACUAAAUAUUGCAAAGUCUUUAAUGUGGCUAGUGGCACAUUUUUACAAAGGUCAUUUGGUGCUCCAAUUAAGUGCAAAAAGGAGGCAAAAGAAUUGAAACAGAAAAAGGGAAAAGGAAAAGGCGUAGCCGCUACUGUGCCACUGGACCUAAGUGCUACAGUGCACGAAGGCCUAGUCGACACCAGUUUUCUUCAACCUGUAGCAGGGAGGCAUCAUAGAGCACAUCCAUGGAUGCCAUGGCGCCGUGGCAUGCAUCCACGCCCCCCUCGCCCUACUUAG